AACGAACGCUGGCGGCAGGCUUAACACAUGCAAGUCGAACGCCCCGCAAGGGGAGUGGCAGACGGGUGAGUAACGCGUGGGAACAUACCCUUUCCUGCGGCAUAGCUCCGGGUAACUGGAAUUAAUACCGCAUACGCCCUACGGGGGAAAGAUUUAUCGGGGUAGGAUUGGCCCGCGUUGGAUUAGCUGGUUGGUGGGGUAAAGGCCUACCAAGGCGACGAUCCAUGGCUGGUGUGAGAGGAUGAUAAGCCACCUUGGGACUGAGACACGGCCCAAACUCCGAGGGGAGGGAGCGGUGGGGUAUAUUGGACAAUGGGCGCAAGCCUGAUCCAGCCAUGCCGCGUGAGUGAUGAAGGCCUUAGGGUUGUAAAGCUCUUUCACCGAUGAAGAUAAUGACGGUAGUCGGAGAAGAAGCCCCGGCUAACUUCGUG
rnacentral:rRNA from 1 species